CAAAUUUUUAUCUUACACAUUCAAUUUUGUAAUACAUUUUAACUAUCUAUUUCAUAAAAAACUCGAUUUUAAUUCUACACACUUCAUCUUACUUGAUAAUAAUUUCAUGUCAAAAUAAUAUUUAUAUGAGAUCAAAUCUAUAUCUUAGUUAAUAUUAAAAAUUAUUAACAAUUAACAAAACAUAAUUAAUAAUAAUACAAAUUUUGUUAAUACCAUAUAUAUUAAAAAUUUGACCAAUAACAUAUAUA
rnacentral:sRNA from 1 species